CACCGCGGUUAUACGAGAGGCCCGAGUUGAUAGACGCCGGCGUAAAGAGUGGUUAAGUUAGAGCCCAAACUAAAGCCAAACAUCUUCAAGACUGUUAUACGUACCCGAAGACAGGAAGUUCAACCACGAAAGUGACUUUAUUUAAUCUGAACCCACGAAAGCUAAGGAA
rnacentral:rRNA from 1 species